CCGGCACGGGGAGGUAGUGACGAAAAAUAACAAUACGGGACUCUUAUGAGACCCCGUAAUUGGAAUGAGUACACUCUAAAGCCUUUAACAAGGAUCUAUUAGAAGACCAGUCUGGUGCCAGCACCUGCGGUAAGUCCAGCUCUAAUAGCGUAUAUUGAAGUUGUUGCGGUUAAAAAGCUCGUAGUUGGAUCUCAGUUCCAGACGGGCGGUCUGCCUAACGGUGGUCACUGCCUGGCCUGAACAACCAGUCGGUUUCCCUAGAUGAUCUUCACCGGUUGUCUUGGGUGACCGACAAGUUUACUUUGAAAAAAUUAGAGUGCUCAAAGCAGGCGCAAUGCCUGGAUAAUGGUGCAUGGAAUAAUGGAAUAGGACCUCGGUUCUAUUUUGUUGGUUUUCGGAACUCGAGGUAAUGAUUAAGAGGAACAGACGGGGGCAUUCGUAUUGCGACGCUAGAGGUGAAAUUCUUGGACCGUCGCAAGACGAACCACUGCGAAAGCAUUUGCCAAGAAUGUUUUCAUUAAUCAAGAACGAAAGUUAGAGGUUCGAAGGCGAUCAGAUACCGCCCUAGUUCUAACCAUAAACGAUGCCAACCAGCGAUCCGCCUGAGUUCCUCAAAUGACUCGGCGGGCAGCUUCCGGGAAACCAAAGUGUUUGGGUUCCGGGGGAAGUAUGGUUGCAAAGCUGAAACUUAAAGGAAUUGACGGAAGGGCACCACCAGAAGUGGAGCCUGCGGCUUAAUUUGACUCAACACGGGAAAACUUACCCGGCCCGGACACUGGAAGGAUUGACAGAUUAAGAGCUCUUUCUUGAUUCAGUGGAUGGUGGUGCAUGGCCGUUCCUAGUUGGUGGAGUGAUUUGUCUGGUUGAUUCUGAUAACGAACGAGACUCUAGCCUACUAAAUAGGCGUCCCGAUCAACUUUGUCGGGCGUUCUUCUUAGAGGGACAAGCGGCGUUUAGCCGCACGAGACAGAGCAAUAACAGGUCUGUGAUGCCCUGAGAUGUCCGGGGCCGCACGCGCGCUACACUGAAGGAAUCAGCGUGUGUUUUCCCUGUCUGGUAGGACUGGGUAACCCGCUAAACCUCCUUCGUGAUAGGGAUAGGGGCUUGUAAUUGUUCCCCUUGAACGAGGAAUUCCCAGUAAGCACGAGUCAUAAGCUCGUGUUGAUUACGUCCCUGCCCUUUGUACACACCGCCCGUCGCUGCUACCGAUUGAAUGAUUUAGUGAGGUCUUCGGACUGGCGCUCGGAGCGACUUUGGCCGCGCCGACGUGCCGGAAAGAUGCCCAAACUUGAUCAUUUAGAGGAAGCAAAAGUCGUAACAAGGUUUUCGUAGGUGAACCUGCG
rnacentral:rRNA from 1 species